rnacentral:rRNA from 1 species
GACAGAGGGUGCAAACGUUGUUCGGAAUUACUGGGCGUAAAGCGCGUGUAGGCUGCUCUGCAAGUCGGAUGUGAAAGCCCUGGGCUCAACCUAGGAAGUGCACUCGAAACUGCAGAGCUUGAGUCUCGGAGAGGGUCGCGGAAUUCUCGGUGUAGAGGUGAAAUUCGUAGAUAUCUGGAGGAACACCGGUGGCGAAGGCGGCGUCCUGGACCAACACUGACACUGAAAAGCGAAAGCCAGGGGAGCAAACGGG